UACGUAGGCAGCAAGCGUUGUUCGGAGUUACUGGGCGUAAAGGGUGCGUAGGCGGUCCUAUAAGUAUGGUGUGAAAUCUCCCGGCUUAACUGGGAGGUGCGCUAUAGACUGUGGGACUAGAGUGUGGGAGAGGAAAGUGGAAUUCCUGGUGUAGCGGUGAAAUGCGUAGAUAUCAGGAGGAACACCUGUGGUGUAGACGGCUUUCUGGACCAUAGCUGACGCUGAGACACGAAAGCGUGGGUAGCAAACAGG
rnacentral:rRNA from 1 species